AGAGUUUGAUCAUGGCUCAGAGCGAACGCUGGCGGCAGGCCUAAAACAUGCAAGUCGAACGGACCCUUCGGGGUUAGUGGCGGACGGGUGAGUAACACGUGGGGAACGUGCCCUUUGGUUCGGAACAACUCAGGGAAACUUGAGCUAAUACCGGAUGUGCCCUUCGGGGGAAAGAUUUAUCGCCAUUGGAGCGGCCCGCGUCUGAUUAGCUAGUUGGUAGGGUAAAGGCCUACCAAGGCUACGAUCAGUAGCUGGUCUGAGAGGAUGAUCAGCCACACUGGGACUGAGACACGGCCCAGACUCCUACGGGAGGCAGCAGUUAGGAAUCUUGCGCAAUGGGCGAAAGCCUGACGCAGCCAUGCCGCGUGAAUGAUGAAGGUCUUAGGAUUGUAAAAUUCUUUCAGCGGGGACGAUAAUGACGGUACCCGCAGAAGAAGCUCCGGCUAACUUCGUGCCAGCAGCCGCGGUAAUACGAAGGGGGCUAGCGUUGCUCGGAAUUACUGGGCGUAAAGGGCGCGUAGGCGGACAGUUUAGUCAGAGGUGAAAGCCCAGGGCUCAACCUUGGAACUGCCUUUGAUACUGGCUGUCUUGAGUUCGGGAGAGGUGUGUGGAACUCCGAGUGUAGAGGUGAAAUUCGUAGAUAUUCGGAAGAACACCAGUGGCGAAGGCGACACACUGGCCCGAUACUGACGCUGAGGCGCGAAAGCGUGGGGAGCAAACAGGAUUAGAUACCCUAGUAGUCC
rnacentral:rRNA from 1 species